rnacentral:misc_RNA from 1 species
GAAAUGCGAUAAGUAAUGUGAAUUGCAGAAUUCAGUGAAUCAUCGAAUCUUUGAACGCACAUUGCGCCCGGCAGCAAUCUGCCGGGCAUGCCUGUCCGGGCGUCAUUUCUGCCCUCGAGCGCGGUUCGGCCCCUAGCGGGCCGGCCGCCGCCCGGUGUUGGGGCGCUGCGGGCCCUCGUGCCCGCAGGCCCUGAAAUGAAGUGGCGGUCCCGCCGCGGCGCCCCCUGCGUAGUAGUAAAGCACCUCGCAUCGGGUCCCGGCGGAGGCCAGCCGUCGAACCUCUCUUUUGAUGGUUUGACCUCGGAUCAGGUAGGGUUACCCGCUGAACUUAAGC